rnacentral:lncRNA from 1 species
CCCAUUUGUAUUAAAUAUGUAACUGUUUUCUAUGUAUUUGAAUGAUAAAUAAAUAGAUAAAGUUAAUUUCACAUUUCACUAUUAUACCUUUUGUGUUUCUACCUUUCAUGUUUUGCAUAUAUAGCGAAAUUGUGACAAGUAAAUAUUAGCUCAUUGAUUGUCUAAGUUCAAACUGAUGAUAAAUGACACUAUAAGAAUGUUUACAUUGCAAGAAGAAUAACUUACUUCAAUAGAUAAUCUAAACGAGUUCAUAA